AAAGUAGAUUAAUGAAAAUUGAUUAAUCAAAAGGGACCAAGUACACACAGUUCUCCCACUCAUCAGGUCUAUUCAAAGGCACCACUAGGAGGCAUCAUGUUAAUGGAGAGAGGAGAAAGUUACUUCCCAUAUAAAGCUCAGAGUGUGAGCACAUACCCCUCACAUCUUCAUCACUAUGAAUAUUAAAAGGAAAGCAAGUCCUACGAUUUUGCAGAUUUCUUCUGCCUGAAUUUGAUCACAGCAGCAUCCCUUUUCAAUGUCUUUCAAGGACCAUACUUUCAAGAAUUACACAAAGCUUGGGGAAAAAAGUUACUAGCAGGAUUGCCAUGAAGGGGAGAUACCAAAAUCACCAGGGCUACAGGGAUAAGAGUCAAAAGUCUUUAAUUAAUGAAUUAAUGAAGCAGGCUCUGAGAUCCCACAGCUUAAACUCACUUUACUGGUAAGCCUGAAAAGUAUCUGGCAGUAAGAGCUCUUGGGAUCACUUAACAGUCAUGUUGGUAUAGUGAACAAAGUUUUUCAUGACAGGCCCAAAAUAAUUCAGUAGUUUUUGAACAGAUUCAAGUUAUUUGAAGUGUGCAGUUCAAAGAAAGUGAGAAAAUGGACAUCUCCGUACUCAUUUGAUUUAAAAUGUUAAUGUUCCUAAAGUAACUGUAGAAACUGGUCUUCAGUCACCUUGUAAUCCCAGAGAUCACGUAAUGCUCUGAAGAGUUGAGAAAUCAGACAUUUUAAAAGUUUAUAUAUACAACAAAAUAUACAUGUAACAAUUAAAACAUUUAAUUAAUUAGUAUAACCCCACCAAUACAAUGUUUGC
rnacentral:lncRNA from 1 species